UGGUACAUAAGAUAUCAGAACAGGAGAGCUAAAAGAGAUGGAACAAGACAUUUACGGACUAUGAAGGAGCAACUACAAGUUCUAUUACAGGAAGGAAAACUAUUAAUUCAUAUACUUAUAGAGAACACACUUCAAUUCAUACACUCUAUACAAGUUUCAAUGGCUGUGCUAUUAUGUAAAUGGAAGUAAAUUUAUUUCAAUACAAAAGUGCCAUAUAUUAACCGAACAAGGUUGUGAUUAUAUACUAGUUUAUCCCUCAACUUUUGAUCGCCAACCCUCUAUGACAUCCUCAGUUAGAGCCCGCGUGUUGAUGAACGAGUCCCUGG
rnacentral:lncRNA from 1 species